UACGGGGGGAGCAAGCGUUGUCCGGAAUCACUGGGCGUAAAGGGUGCGUAGGUGGGAAUAUAAGUCUGUGGUGAAAACUGAUGGCUCAACUAUCAGCCUGCCGCGGAAACUGUAUUUCUUGAGUGCUGUAGAGGAGACCGGAAUUCCUGGUGUAGCGGUGAAAUGCGUAGAUAUCAGGAAGAACACCGGUUGCGAAGGCGGGUCUCUGGGCAUGCACUGACACUGAGGCACGAAAGCUGGGGGAGCAAACAGGAUUAGAUACCCCAGUA
rnacentral:rRNA from 1 species